AUUGAACGCUAGCGGGAUGCCUUACACAUGCAAGUCGAACGGAGUGGCGAACGGGUGAGUAAUGUAUAGGAACGUGCCCAGUAGCGGGGGAUAACUACGCGAAAGCGUAGCUAAUACCGCAUACUAUUGGCGCGGCCGCUAUCGGAUUAGCUAGUUGGUGGGGUAACGGCUCACCAAGGCCACGAUGCGUAGCUGGUUUGCGAGGACGACCAGCCACACUGGGACUGAGACACGGACCAGACGCCUACGGGAGGCAGCAGUGGGGAAUGUUGGAAAAUGGGGGAAACCCUGAUCCAGCCAGCCCGCGUGUGCGAUGAAGGCCUUCGGGUUGUAAAGCACUUUUGGCAGGAAAGCGGUACCUGCAGAAUAAGCACCGGCUAACUACGUGCCAGCCGCCGCGGUAAUAC
rnacentral:rRNA from 1 species